rnacentral:lncRNA from 1 species
CAUGGUUACAGUAGAUAAUUCCAAAAUUCUAAAAGCAGACAUCUUAUUGCCACAUGUCAUGUUAUAUAUCAAUACAGUUUCAUUUACUUUGGUGCACUACUCUCUGAGAAAAUGCUGAUUUUAUGCAUUUUUCCAUAGGGUCAAUGCAAAACUUGGCCCUAGUUUCCAUGACAACGGUGGCCAUUUUGAACUAUCCAAAUAUUGUUUUGACAUCUUGGCAUACUGGGUCACAUUUUCAUAAAGUUUCAUCCAGCUUGAUGUUAUAAUGAAAGAGUUAGAAUUUUUGAUAUUUGAGCUGUUUCCAUGGUAACGGCAGCCAUUUUGGAAAUUCCAAAGUCAAACUGUAAAUCAUCUCAUGCCAGUUACCAUUCCUGUGGAGUUUCUUCCAGUUUGGAACACUUUGAAUAUUUUCGGAUUUUUGCAGUUUCCAUGGAAACGGCAGCCAUCUUGACCAUUCCAAAGUCAGGUGCACAACUUCACAUGCUGGUCCACAUUAUGGUAUAGUUCCAUCAACAUUGGUUCAUACAAUUCCGAGAAACUGUGUGGACAAAAAGUGUUGAAGAAGAAUAAUAAAAACUAGAUUUGUAAUUGCUAGCAAUAACGGAUGGCACCCUCGUCCCCCC